GAGGAAAGCUUGGGGCGUGCCUAAUACAUGCAAGUCGAGCGAACGGACGAGAAGCUUGCUUCUCUGAUGUUAGCGGCGGACGGGUGAGUAACACGUGGAUAACCUACCUAUAAGACUGGGAUAACUUCGGGAAACCGGAGCUAAUACCGGAUAAUAUUUUGAACCGCAUGGUUCAAAAGUGAAAGACGGUCUUGCUGUCACUUAUAGAUGGAUCCGCGCUGCAUUAGCUAGUUGGUAAGGUAACGGCUUACCAAGGCAACGAUGCAUAGCCGACCUGAGAGGGUGAUCGGCCACACUGGAACUGAGACACGGUCCAGACUCCUACGGGAGGCAGCAGUAGGGAAUCUUCCGCAAUGGGCGAAAGCCUGACGGAGCAACGCCGCGUGAGUGAUGAAGGUCUUCGGAUCGUAAAACUCUGUUAUUAGGGAAGAACAUAUGUGUAAGUAACUGUGCACAUCUUGACGGUACCUAAUCAGAAAGCCACGGCUAACUACGUG
rnacentral:rRNA from 1 species